UCACUCACUCUCUCACUUCGUGACUUUAAUUUUACACAAACUUUAUCACGAACAGGAGCUCUGUAUUUUAAGAGCUGCAUAGUGUUGUAUAACUAAUUUGAGAAAUGAGUGUAAAUUUAGCUCAAACAUUUUGAAGUCUCUGUAUUUCACUGUGUAAUUUCUUUUUUUCUUCUGAAAUAUAUCAUCCGUCAGCAGUGCGUAAGGACAGUCUAAAUCAACUUCCAUUCACCUGCCGUUCAGCGCUUUGGGACUCUUCGUCAGCAAGCUCCUUCUGACAGUUAUUUAUAGCUCAACAUUUCAGCAAGAUAAUUGCAGUGUACAUAGAGGCAGGGAGGCAGCACCAGUUAGAACUCUCCUACCCUUUCCAGCAGCAUCUUGGACUAUAUCCCGCCUUGCUAGAUUGACUUACAUC
rnacentral:lncRNA from 1 species